rnacentral:tRNA from 1 species
GGUGGAGUGUCCGAGUGGCGAGGCGGGGGUCUGCAAAACCUUUUACGGUGGUUCGAAUCCACCCUCACACCU